rnacentral:lncRNA from 1 species
GCUCCGCCGCCCCGCCCGCCCCGCCUCCCGCUCCUCCUCCUUCCCCUCCUCUCCUCCUCCUCCUUCCUCCUCCCCCGCAACCUCCGACGGCCUCCCGCGCCCCACCACCGCGCCCCGUCCCCCCUUCCUUUCCCUCCCCGCGCCCGCCUCCGCACCCCCGGCUCCCCGCCCUCCGGAGACGCGACCUCAGAUCAGACGUGGCGACCCGCUGAAUUUAAGCAUAUUAGUCAGCGGAGGAAAAGAAACUAACGGAUUCCCUCAGUAACGGCGACGUGAACAGGGAAGAGCCCAGCGCCGAAUCCCCGCCGCGCGGCGCGGCGCGGGACGUGUGGCGUACGGAAGACCCACUCCCGGCGCCGCUCGUGGGGGCCAAGUCCUUCUGAUCGAGGCCCAGCCGCGGACGGGUGUGUGAGCCGGUAGCGGCCCCCGGCGCGCCGGGGCCCGGGUCUUCCCGGAGUCGGGUUGCUUGGGGAAUGCAGCCCAAAGCGGGGUGGUAAACUCCAUCUAAGGCUAAAUACCGGCACGAGACCGAUAGCCAACAAGUACCGUUAAGGGAAGUUGAAAAGAACUUUGAAGAGAGAGUUCAAGAGGCGUGAAACCGUUAAGAGGUAAACGGUGGGGUCCGCGCAGUCCGCCCGGAGGAUUCAACCCGGCGGCGCGCGUCCGGCCGUGCCGGCGGUUCCCGGCGGAUCUUUCCCGCUCCCCGUUCCUCCCGACCCCUCCACCCGUCCGCGAGGUCGACCAGCAGUCCGCCGGACUUGGCUCCGCUCCGCUCCGCCCUCUCCUCUCCCGGCGCCCGCGGUCGACCAGUUGCCUCUCGACACUCGGCCUCCCCGCCGGAGAGGACGGACGCCGGCAGCCACCGGUGGCGAAGGUCGACCAGUUGUCCGUCCGUCUCUCCAUGCGGCGGGUUGACCAGUUACCCGAUCGGGGGUCGACCAGCUGUCUGUACCGUGAGUAGUUCUCAGUCCGCUCUCUCUUGGCUGUUUAGGCUUUCUUUUCUGCUGUUGAUGUUCUUCUUUCUUCUUCUUCUUCUUCUUCUUCUUCUUUUUUUUUUUCUUACACUUUUCAACGCUGCCAU